rnacentral:rRNA from 1 species
GACGUAGGAUGCAAGCGUUGUCCGGAUUUAUUGGGCGUAAAGAGUUCGUAGGCGGUUCGUUAAGUCUGGUGUUAAAGAUCGGGGCUCAACCCCGGGAGUGCACUGGAUACUGGCGGACUCGAGUGUGGUAGAGGCAAGUGGAAUUCCCAGUGGUAGCGGUGAAAUGCGCAGAUAUCAGGAGGAACACCGAUGGCGAAGGCAGGGUCUCUGGGCAUUAACUGACGCUGAGGAGCGAAAGCAUGGGGAGCGAACAGG